ensembl:miRNA Mir8103 microRNA 8103
GGGGAGCCAGUCUGCAGACAAGAAGGGGAGCAGGGAGCAGGCGGAGUGGAAGGAGUUACCUUCUCCUGUUCUCUGUUCUCCCUCUGACUGCAGGAGCAAAGGGCAUG